rnacentral:rRNA from 1 species
GAAUCUUGGCAACGAAUAUCUCAGCUCUUGUCAUAAUGAAAAAUGUAGUGAAAUGCGAUACUUAGUGUGAAUUGCAGAAUCCCAUGAAUCAUCAAGUUUUUGAACGCAAUUUGCGCCCGAGACCUCAUUCGAGGGCACAUCUAUCUGGGUGUCG